UACGGAGGGUGCUAGCGUUGUUCGGAAUUACUGGGCGUAAAGCGUGCGUAGGUGGUUCGUUAAGUCUGAUGUGAAAGCCCUGGGCUCAACCUGGGAAUGGCAUUGGAUACUGGCGACCUAGAGUGCGGUAGAGGGGUGUGGAAUUCCCGGUGUAGCAGUGAAAUGCGUAGAUAUCUGGAGGAACACCGGUGGCGAAGGCGGCGUCCUGGACCAACACUGACACUGAUGAGCGAAAGCCAGGGGAGCAAACGGG
rnacentral:rRNA from 1 species